GUUUGCAUAGGGUUGUGUUUCAUGGGAGGGUCGAGGUGGAGUUCCAUAGCCUUCUAGUAAAAUGUGGUAAUUUUCUCAGGGCUGACAAAAAACAAAACAACAACAACAACAACAACAAAACUCUUUCUGUGAAAGUGACAGUUUUUUCCUCAUAUGCUCAAAGGAAUCAACCUUGUAUUCCACAGGCAAAAUCCCCUCAUUACUGCUGGACAAACACUCAAGAAAAGUGGUUGGGAAGUAAGUCCAUAGCUCCGCCUUCCAAGGAAACAAACAAACAAGAAGUCAUUGACAAUAAGGCUGUGGUAUAAACUGAUGAAGAGUAGGAGAUUCAGGGAGCUGAGCAAUCCUGAGAGCACAUGUGAACAAUUAAUCUUGUUGUUUGCUGCAAACAAGCUGAACCCCUCCAGCUGCAUGGGUGAGUACGUGGUGCACCGAAGAUCACUCACACACUGAGGGGUGAGCUGUUGUGUGAAUGCAGCCCCCUCCCCAAGGACCAGAUAGCACUGCCACUUACACAGCAUUGUGCCAUCAGUGACAAAUCUUCAGGACUUGCCCUUCCUUUCAGAUGGGAAGCUCAGAUCUGCACCCCGCGCCCUGCUGUGCCAGCACCUGACCAGGACGAGAACGCAGUGUAUCCACUGAGCGUGAGCUCUGCUCUUUUAGAAGAUGGGCCUGGUGCUAGACUUCCCAAGUCACCUCCAGGGCUGUAAUUGGAGGUAAACAAAAUUGUAAGUGACCAGAUAAGCCAACCUGCCAUGUUCCUUGCUGUGGUAGUCUCUAAAUGCAGAAACAAAGCAGGAGCUCCUUCUCACAGCCCUUUGACUAGGAGGUAGAAGAUUAUUUCCAGAUGUUUCCUCAGACUUUCCUGGUUCUUGGAUACCUUCUUCCUAAUGCUAUGGCUGUCCUGGUGUGGUUGCAUUAGAAGCAUUCAUAGGCAUGGGCUUUUGAAUGAAAAACAAGGGACAAAAGUGGAAGUAGCUGCUGACUCUGCUUUGUGACACAUUUGUGAUAUUCCCCUAAAGGAAAAUAGAAUCUGAGCUCUAAAAGUAGAGCCAGCUUGAGUUCUCACAGCAGGGAAGUCCAAGCAGUGUGGUUUCUACUUUUAACUCUUUGUUUGUAGUGAGACCCAAAUAAGUUGGGUCUAACUAUAUUUUACAGAACGUGUAUCUUUAUGUGUGAACUGUACAAAACAUACACUGAAAACUCCCAAAUUUAAGAACAUAUAUAA